UACGUAGGUGGCAAGCGUUACUCGGAAUCACUAGGCGUAAAGCGCAGGUAGGAGGUUUGGAAAGUCUGUUGUGAAAGCUCCCGGCUUAACUGGGAGAGGUCAACGGAAACUACCAGGCUAGAGUGUGGUAGAGGUAGCUGGAAUUCCCCGGUGUAGCGGUGAAAAUGCGUAGAUAUCGGGGAGGAAUACCUAUGGCGAAAGCAGGCUACUGGACCGUCACUGACUCUGAUCUGCGAAAGCUAGGGGAGCAAACAGG
rnacentral:rRNA from 1 species